rnacentral:rRNA from 1 species
UCCGAAGGGGGCUAGCGUUGCUCGGAUUUACUGGGCGUAAAGCGCACGUAGGCGGGUCGUUAAGUCGGGGGUGAAAUCCCGGAGCUCGACUCCGGAACUGCCUUCGAUACUGGCGAUCUCGAGUCCGGGAGAGGUGAGUGGAAUUCCGAGUGUAGAGGUGAAAUUCGUAGAUAUUCGGAAGAACACCAGUGGCGAAGGCGGCUCACUGGCCCGGUACUGACGCUGAGGUGCGAAAGCGUGGGGAGAAAACAGG